AGGUACCUGAUUAUAAUUGAUGAUCUAUGGGAUACACCAUCAUGUGCUUUUCCAGAUAAUGGUCUUGGCAGCAGAGUACUAAUAACUACAAGAAUACAAAAUGUGGCUAAGGCUUGUUGCUCUCAUUGCAGUGAUAAUAUUUUCGAAAUGAAGCCACUUAACAAUGAAGACUCAAGAAGACUGUUUUUUGGUAGGAUAUUCAACUCUAAAGAAGCUUGCCCUCACCAGCUUCGAUAUGUUUCUACUGAAAUUCUCAAAAAAUGUGAUGGUUUGCCUCUUGCAAUCAUUAGUAUAUCAUGCAUUCUAGCAACUGAAGGUUUCGACCAAGAGGAGUGGGAACAUGUACAGAAUUAUCUAGGUUCGGGGAAAAAAAUCUCAUGUUGGAAGGGAUGA
rnacentral:rRNA from 1 species